rnacentral:rRNA from 1 species
AGUCGAGCGGCAGCGGAAGUAGCUUGCUACUUCGCCGGCGAGCGGCGGACGGGUGAGUAAUGUCUGGGAAACUGCCUGAUGGAGGGGGAUAACUACUGGAAACGGUAGCUAAUACCGCAUAACGUCGCAAGACCAGAGAGGGGGACCUUCGGGCCUCUUGCCAUCAGAUGUGCCCAGAUGGGAUUAGCUAGUAGGUGGGGUAACGGCUCACCUAGGCGACGAUCCCUAGCUGGUCUGAGAGGAUGACCAGCCACACUGGAACUGAGACACGGUCCAGACUCCUACGGGAGGCAGCAGUGGGGAAUAUUGCACAAUGGGCGCAAGCCUGAUGCAGCCAUGCCGCGUGUAUGAAGAAGGCCUUCGGGUUGUAAAGUACUUUCAGCGGGGAGGAAGAUGUUGUGGUUAAUAACCUCAGCAAUUGACGUUACCCGCAGAAGAAGCACCGGCUAACUCCGUGCCAGCAGUCGCGGUAAUACGGAGGGUGCAAGCGUUAAUCGGAAUUACUGGGCGUAAAGCGCACGCAGGCGGUCUGUCAAGUCGGAUGUGAAAUCCCCGGGCUCAACCUGGGAACUGCAUUCGAAACUGGCAGGCUAGAGUCUUGUAGAGGGGGGUAGAAUUCCAAGUGUAGCGGUGAAAUGCGUAGAGAUCUGGAGGAAUACCGGUGGCGAAGGCGGCCCCCUGGACAAAGACUGACGCUCAGUGCGAAAGCGUGGGGAGCAAACAGGAUUAGAUACCCUGGUAGUCCACGCCGUAA